CACUCUCCUUGCUGAACAUUCUCCUUCCAAGAGAGGAGAGAGAAUAGUGACUCUGUUGUUCAGCAGAUUCACCACAGUACUUAGUCACCCCAUCCUCUGCAUCCUCUGGCCUCUCUAUACCAAGUCCAUCCUGUAUGCUCAAGGCUUUGCAUCCUGCAUGUUCUGGGUCCUCUCCCUACACAAUUUAAAUCAUUUAAAGAACUUUCUUACAAAAGACUAAGGGAAACCUAGCCCCUGCUUUGAGAUUUUAAUAACAUAGCCUGGGGCAUGAAACUUACCUCAGAACACUUGGCUUUUGACUAGAUCCUUUUUUGUAUAAGUUGUUACAGUGCACAUGUUCUCAAAAACGCUUCUUUCGGGGUUCUGAGGAACAGCUACUGCUAUAAUAGAUACAACUGCUGUACAGACAGCUACAGCAAUGUUAACCUCGGGCGUUAAGGAGCCUGGAAAUCAUGUAAAGAAACAGGUAAGAACAGCAGAAGUGCUGAUAGAAGCUGAUGUUAGACUUUCCUGUUCUGGCACUAGUGGACAAAACCAACCAUCUCGUGGUUUUUACGUUGUUGUUGCCAUAAUAAAAAGGACGGUGAGGGAAACCUUGUUCUAGCCUGCAAGCUUGUUAUAGUACAGAAGUGAUAUUCUUUUCUAGCUCAUCUAUCUCUGUUCUAGUUAAAGGGGUAGAGGAGCAAGUCCAAGUCCACUUCUUCAUAUCAGAAUGUUUCAUUUAUUUGAGUCAAAUUAGUCACUGGUGAAUCUCUGCUGACUUCAGUAAAGGCUAGAAACGUCCAUACAUGUGUACCUGGGAUCUCCAGAAUGGAUAGCAAGGGGCUAAAGAACAGAGCGAUCCUGUUUAAUCAGGAAUUAUGAAAAGUUGUUUUUUAAAUUAUAAGUUUUUUAAUAAGCCAGGAGAAACCUGAAGUACAAACAACAUUGUGGGGACCCUGCACAGGAGGGUGCGAAUGAGCGUGCCUCCAGGGCUCGGGCUCUGGCUCUGUUCUGGGGCCCCCUCAUAUGGAUAAGGCCAGGCCUCCAGCAAUGUGUGAUCAGCCCAGUGUAGGAGGUGCUCUUAGUCCUGAGCUGAAACUGGGAUUUCUAAACACCUUCCCCCAUCUCCAUCUACCAGUAGCCUCUGACUUUCCCUCCUCUCGUUCUCACCCCACUGGAGAUGUGCAGGCACCCUCAUAGGAUUGUGAGCAUCCUACACUUCCCUUAUGUGUUUGCAACCCUCUUUCAGCACCCAUACCUUUCCCAGUAGUGGUGGGAAAUUGAGAGCAAGUGUUUGUGUGCAUUUCCCAGGAGAAGGCUGGGGGAGGUUCAUUGUGAAAAGAAGUCAUACAUUGUGAACAGGUCACUUCUGGCACCGCCUGGAAUAGAGAUCAAGUCCCCAAAAUGGCAAACAGUAGCUCUAAUAUACUCAGUCAGGCUGUCUUUUUUAUAUUGAAUAUGUCAAAGGUAUGUGCUUGGCUACCCAUUUUGUAACAACUUCAGUAACCGCUGCUGUAGACUACAUUCUCCUCCCAAUGCCACAAACUGAACCCAGGAAUCCUGAUUCCCACUAUUCUGUUUCUAGCAAAUAUUUGUGUAGCCCACAGGCAAUGUAUGUCAGGUCCCUUUUAGCGAUCAUGGGCCAUACAGGGUCAGAUACUCCUUUUGCUUAGUGAUAGAGGCCUCUCGUAAGUCUAAUUUGCAGGUCCAAUAUGUAAAUCUUGAUGCUGACUCAUAGAGAUUCUUCUGUUUGCAAGAGAUGGAACUUCUGUUAUUUCCCCCCUCCCCAGUUUCUUUUGUAAUAGAUUUUCCGGAGUUGGUGAGUGAACUUCUUUGAGUGUCUAUGUUUACAUGAGUAGAGGCAUGUCUGUAUGCUCAUCUGCAUAUGCUUUUUAUUGUUGCAUGCCUGGGGGUCUGCAAUGAGGGGCAGGGAGUGGAAAUAUUUCAAAUCAAUCCACCCCAGACAAAUAUUCAUUCCCUUUCACUGUCCCUUGUGCAGUAAUAACAAUGUGACUUUUAGAAAGAGUAUAAAGUCUGGACAGGGCAAAAUGAGAAGACACCCCUCUAUGUGUAAAUCCCCUAUGGGAUCCCUCUAGGUGGUAGUAUUGAUCAUAGGAACAUAUGGAGGCUUCUGGAUGGCCCAAGAUAUUGGAUGGUGAAGAUGCAUGAUCCCCUACAAUAUCUGGGGGCAAUGACCCAUUUCUUUGGGUUUCCUGACCUCCAUUUGUGCUCUUUGUUUCAGCUCUUGCCUAUUUGCUGUUUGACGAAGAACCCUCAAUUGGUAGAAAUAUCUUUGCCAUCUUUGAGCAGAUGAACUGGCCUGCACCGCACAGACAGUCCUUCUCACUGAGAAGCCACUUCUACUACAGCUUCUCAUGAUUGGCACAGGAAGCCAGAAAAAAUUGGACAGUUGCUCUCCUGAAAAGGCUCUCCUCCUACUUCUGUUGACCAGGGAACAACCACCAUGGAAUACCAAUGCACGGGGGAGUCAGUCCUGCCCCCUAUUGCGAUGCUGCCUCAUCACAGAAUGUAAAGCAAGAACAUCACUGUACAACAGAAGGGGAUAGACUGUCAACUUGCCAGAAGGCUGGUGGCUGAAACUUAAUUUGUAGAUAGGCUUGUAUAAA